GGAAGGUGAAGAGGGUUAAAGUUGAGCAUUUAGGUAAUUUUUCCGGCUCAGUCAAGCUUACAAUCAAGGAGAUCGGAUAAUUCCAAAAUAAAGUUGGGUCAGUAAUAAAAUAUGAUGGAUACAAAUCAGAAUUGCAAAUGAAGGCAAAAAUAUGAAAUAGAGGAAUUCUCAAAUGUAACGAUAGUCGUAUUUUGGCUACUUCUGUCUUAAUUUAGCAGUUUGAAUAUUAAUUGAGACUAUGUAAUCACACACUCUUCUUGCCCUGUGGAACAGAUACCCAGCUUUCUUUGGCAUUAACUCUAUUGGCU